GAUGAACGCUAGCGGCAGGCUUAAUACAUGCAAGUCGUGGGGCAGCAUGAGUGUAGCAAUACAUUUGAUGGCGACCGGCAAACGGGUGCGGAACACGUACACAACCUUCCUAUAAGUGGGGAAUAGCCCAGAGAAAUUUGGAUUAAUACCCCGUAACAUAACGAUGUGGCAUCACAUUGUUAUUAUAGCUUCGGCGCUUAUUGAUGGGUGUGCGGCUGAUUAGAUAGUUGGCGGGGUAACGGCCCACCAAGUCUACGAUCAGUAGCUGAUGUGAGAGCAUGAUCAGCCACACAGGCACUGAGACACGGGCCCGACUCCUACGGGAGGCAGCAGUAAGGAAUAUUGGUCAAUGGACGCAAGUCUGAACCAGCCAUGCCGCGUGAAGGAUUAAGGUCCUCUGGAUUGUAAACUUCUUUUAUCUGGGACGAAAAAAGGCUUUUCUAAGUCACUUGACGGUACCAGAUGAAUAAGCACCGGCUAACUCCGUGCCAGCAGCCGCGGUAAUAC
rnacentral:rRNA from 1 species